GCCGCCAUUUUUGCUUUGGUUUAUGAUCGACAAGUCAUCGAUUUUUCUUUGAAAUCAAACCUCCUUGUUUCUUCCUCUUGCCAGACUAGCCGUUGUUGCUAAUUGUGGCCUCAUUUUGGUUGCCAAGGACCAAGCCAUCAUCACCUAAGCCAUCGUGGUCGCGGCCAUUGAGGGCUUCAGCUAUGAGAGUCGACUAGGGCCUAAGACCCUCUUUCCCUAUUUCCAUGAGAAAAAAAAAAGAAGACAACGAGAAG
rnacentral:lncRNA from 1 species